GGCGAAGUGCCAGAGUGGUCAAUGGGUGUGACUCGAAUUAAAGGAUUCGCAAUCACAUGGCUUCGGCCGCGCAAGUUCGAGUCUUGUCUUCGUCG